rnacentral:rRNA from 1 species
AACCUCCGCAAUGUGAGAAAUCGCGACGGGGGGAUCCCAAGUGCCAUUCUUAACGGGAUGGCUUUUCAUUAGUGUAAAGAGCUUUUGGAAUAAGAGCUGGGCAAGACCGGUGCCAGCCGCCGCGGUAACACCGGCAGCUCUAGUGGUAGCAAUUUUUAUUGGGCCUAAAGCGUCCGUAGCCGGUUUAAUAAGUCUCUGGUGAAAUCCUGUAGCUUAACUGUGGGAAUUGCUGGAGAUACUAUUAGACUUGAGACCGGGAGAGGUUAGAGGUACUCCCAGGGUAGAGGUGAAAUUCUGUAAUCCUGGGAGGACCGCCUGUUGCGAAGGCGUCUAACUGGAACGGUUCUGACGGUGAGGGACGAAAGUUAGGGGCGCGAACCGGAUUAGAUACCCGGGUAGUCCUAACUGUAAACGAUGCGGACUUGGUGUUGGGGUGGCUUUGAGCUGCUCCAGUGCCGAAGGGAAGCUGUUAAGUCCGCCGCUGGGAAGUACGGUCGCAAGACUGAAACUUAAAGGAAUU